rnacentral:rRNA from 1 species
AACGUAGGACGCAAGCGUUAUCCGGAAUCACUGGGCGUAAAGCGCACGUAGGCGGCUUUCUAAGUCAGGGGUGAAAUCCUGGAGCUCAACUCCAGAACUGCCUUUGAUACUGGAGAGCUAGAGUCCGGAAGAGGUGAGUGGAACUGCGAGUGUAGAGGUGAAAUUCGUAGAUAUUCGCAAGAACACCAGUGGCGAAGGCGGCUCACUGGUCCGGUACUGACGCUGAGGUGCGAAAGCGUGGGGAGCAAACAGG